AGUGAACGCUGGCGGUAGGCCUAACACAUGCAAGUCGAACGGCAGCACAGUAAGAGCUUGCUCUUACGGGUGGCGAGUGGCGGACGGGUGAGGAAUACAUCGGAAUCUACUUUUUCGUGGGGGAUAACGUAGGGAAACUUACGCUAAUACCGCAUACGACCUACGGGUGAAAGCAGUGGAUCUUCGGACCUUGCGCGAUUGAAUGAGCCGAUGUCGGAUUAGCUAGUUGGCGGGGUAAAGGCCCACCAAGGCGACGAUCCGUAGCUGGUCUGAGAGGAUGAUCAGCCACACUGGAACUGAGACACGGUCCAGACUCCUACGGGAGGCAGCAGUGGGGAAUAUUGGACAAUGGGCGCAAGCCUGAUCCAGCAAUACCGCGUGGGUGAAGAAGGCCUUCGGGUUGUAAAGCCCUUUUGUUGGGAAAGAAAAGCAGCAGGUUAAUACCCCGAUGUUCUGACGGUACCCAAAGAAUAAGCACCGGCUAACUUCGUG
rnacentral:rRNA from 1 species